rnacentral:rRNA from 1 species
UUAUAUGAGAGUUUGAUCCUGGCUCAGGAUGAACGCCGGCGGUGUGCCUAAUACAUGCAAGUCGAACGCGUUGGCCCAAUUGAUUGAUGGUGCUUGCACCUGAUUGAUUUUGGUCGCCAACGAGUGGCGGACGGGUGAGUAACACGUAGGUAACCUGCCCAGAAGCGGGGGACAACAUUUGGAAACAGAUGCUAAUACCGCAUAACAGCGUUGUUCGCAUGAACAACGCUUAAAAGAUGGCUUCUCGCUAUCACUUCUGGAUGGACCUGCGGUGCAUUAGCUUGUUGGUGGGGUAACGGCCUACCAAGGCGAUGAUGCAUAGCCGAGUUGAGAGACUGAUCGGCCACAAUGGGACUGAGACACGGCCCAUACUCCUACGGGAGGCAGCAGUAGGGAAUCUUCCACAAUGGGCGCAAGCCUGAUGGAGCAACACCGCGUGAGUGAAGAAGGGUUUCGGCUCGUAAAGCUCUGUUGUUAAAGAAGAACACGUAUGAGAGUAACUGUUCAUACGUUGACGGUAUUUAACCAGAAAGUCACGGCUAACUACGUGCCAGCAGCCGCGGUAAUACGUAGGUGGCAAGCGUUAUCCGGAUUUAUUGGGCGUAAAGAGAGUGCAGGCGGUUUUCUAAGUCUGAUGUGAAAGCCUUCGGCUUAACCGGAGAAGUGCAUCGGAAACUGGAUAACUUGAGUGCAGAAGAGGGUAGUGGAACUCCAUGUGUAGCGGUGGAAUGCGUAGAUAUAUGGAAGAACACCAGUGGCGAAGGCGGCUACCUGGUCUGCAACUGACGCUGAGACUCGAAAGCAUGGGUAGCGAACAGGAUUAGAUACCCUGGUAGUCCAUGCCGUAAACGAUGAGUGCUAGGUGUUGGAGGGUUUCCGCCCUUCAGUGCCGGAGCUAACGCAUUAAGCACUCCGCCUGGGGAGUACGACCGCAAGGUUGAAACUCAAAGGAAUUGACGGGGGCCCGCACAAGCGGUGGAGCAUGUGGUUUAAUUCGAAGCUACGCGAAGAACCUUACCAGGUCUUGACAUCUUGCGCCAACCCUAGAGAUAGGGCGUUUCCUUCGGGAACGCAAUGACAGGUGGUGCAUGGUCGUCGUCAGCUCGUGUCGUGAGAUGUUGGGUUAAGUCCCGCAACGAGCGCAACCCUUGUUACUAGUUGCCAGCAUUAAGUUGGGCACUCUAGUGAGACUGCCGGUGACAAACCGGAGGAAGGUGGGGACGACGUCAGAUCAUCAUGCCCCUUAUGACCUGGGCUACACACGUGCUACAAUGGACGGUACAACGAGUCGCGAACUCGCGAGGGCAAGCAAAUCUCUUAAAACCGUUCUCAGUUCGGACUGUAGGCUGCAACUCGCCUGCACGAAGUCGGAAUCGCUAGUAAUCGCGGAUCAGCAUGCCGCGGUGAAUACGUUCCCGGGCCUUGUACACACCGCCCGUCACACCAUGAGAGUUUGUAACACCCAAAGUCGGUGGGGUAACCUUUUAGGAGCCAGCCGCCUAAGGUGGGACAGAUGAUUAGGGUGAAGUCGUAACAAGGUAGCCGUAGGAGAACCUGCGGCUGGAUCACCUCCUUU